UUUGGUGUGGGGGACUUCACAACAGCCAAAGGUGAAAGGCAAUCCCAUGGUAGGAAACACCCAUCUUGUUUGAACGGGUGCAGGUUGUAGCUGUGGUGGUCUAAGGACACAGGCAGACGAGGCCCUUUGGGUAAAUCUGAUCUCUUUGAUUAAACCAACUCAAAUAGUUGGGACAAUUCUUCUUUGCCAGCUGUCGGGUAUAAACGCCCUUCGUCAGGCUGAGGAAGCAUCUGCAGUUGCUGCGUGCGCUUCCUGGAUGGACUGAAUAGUAAAGAAGCCAGAGGCUGGGCUGGACUGGGCUGGGG